rnacentral:rRNA from 1 species
GACGAACGCUGGCGGCGUGCUUAACACAUGCAAGUCGAGCGGUAAGGCCCUUUCGGGGGUACACGAGCGGCGAACGGGUGAGUAACACGUGGGUGACCUGCCCUCAGCUCUGGGAUAAGCCUGGGAAACCGGGUCUAAUGCCGGAUAUGACUCCAUGACGCAUGUUGUGGGGUGGAAAGCCUUGUGCGGCUGAGGAUGGGCCCGCGGCCUAUCAGCUUGUUGGUGGGGUGANGGCCUACCAAGGCGACGACGGGUAGCCGGCCUGAGAGGGCGACCGGCCACACUGGGACUGAGACACGGCCCAGACUCCUACGGGAGGCAGCAGUGGGGAAUCUUGCGCAAUGGGCGAAAGCCUGACGCAGCGACGCCGCGUGAGGGAUGACGG